UGGGUUGUGGCUCAGUGGUAGAGCGCUUGCCUAGCACGCACGAAGCCCUGGGUUCCAUCCUCAGCACCACAU
rnacentral:tRNA from 1 species